UGAGGAAUAUUGGUCAAUGGGCGCGAGCCUGAACCAGCCAAGUCGCGUGAGGGAUGACGGCCCUACGGGUUGUAAACCUCUUUUGUCGGGGAGCAAAUUCCGUUACGCGUAACGGAGUCGAGAGUACCCGAAGAAAAAGCAUCGGCUAACUCCGUGCC
rnacentral:rRNA from 1 species